rnacentral:rRNA from 1 species
GACGAACCGUGCGAACGUUAUUCGGAAUCACUGGGCUUAAAGCGCGUGUAGGCGGAUGGGAACGUCGGUAGUUGAAAGCCCCCCGGCUCAACCGGGGAAGUGGUGCCGAAACGACCCGUCUGGAGGGACGUAGGGGGACCUGGAACUUCCGGUGGAGCGGUGAAAUGCGUUGAGAUCGGAAGGAACGCCCGUGGCGAAAGCGGCCUUCUGGACAGUGACGUGACGCUGAGACGACGAAAAGCGUGGGGAGCAAACAGG